UACGUAGGGGGCAAGCGUUGUCCGGAUUUAUUGGGCGUAAAGAGCGUGUAGGCGGCCAAGCAGGUCAGCUGUGAAAACUCGAGGCUCAACCUCGAGACGUCGGUUGAAACCGCUUGGCUAGAGUCCGGAAGAGGAGAGUGGAAUUCCCGGUGUAGCGGUGAAAUGCGCAGAUAUCGGGAAGAACACCCGUGGCGAAGGCGGCUCUCUGGGACGGUACUGACGCUGAGACGGCGAAAAGCGUGGGGAGCAAACAGGG
rnacentral:rRNA from 1 species